AUUGAACGCUGGCGGCAGGCCUAACACAUGCAAGUCGAACGAGCGGCGGACGGGUGAGUAAUGUUUGGGAAUCUGCCUGAUAGAGGGGGAUAACUACUGGAAACUGUAGCUAAUACCGCAUACUAUAGGAUGAGCCCAAGUGGGAUUAGUUAGUUGGUGAGGUAAAGGCUCACCAAGCCGACGAUCGCUAGCUGGUCUGAGAGGAUGACCAGCCACACUGGGACGGAGACACGGCCCAGACUCCUACGGGAGGCAGCAGUGGGGAAUAUUGCGCAAUGGGCGCAACCCUGACGCAGCCAUGCCGCGUGGAUGAAGAAGGCCUUAGGGUUGUAAAGUACUUUCAGUAGGGAGGCGUUACCUACAGAAGAAGCACCGGCUAACUCCGUGCCAGCAGCCGCGGUAAUAC
rnacentral:rRNA from 1 species